GGCUGCUGAGAAGCCCAGUCGUUCAACAUGCUAGUCAGUGUCCCUCAAUCUCAAGCACAACAAUCAUCAUCCUGCCGUACAUAACUAACAUCACCAGAGAUCGUCAACAACUGCAUAAGCUCCAGACGAUACUCGAGACCUCUAAUGUAGUGGCCCAACAACAUGCACCAGAACAGAAGGCGUGCCAGAUAGUCCCGUGAGACUGAUAUCAGGGGCUGG
rnacentral:misc_RNA from 1 species